rnacentral:lncRNA from 1 species
AAUAAUUAAAAAAUAUAUAAAACACACCGGAGAUAACUACUGACCAUCUGUAGGAUAAAAAAAACUAGUAUCGUAAUGAUUUUAAUAAUGCCGGCAUUAAAAACGACGUAAGGGCAUUUUAAUAUGUUGCUAUUGAUGACAAUGGAAAUAAUAAAUAUGCAUAAAUUUGGGGCCAAAAUAAAAGGAUAAAAUAUAGUAGAAAUUGAAUCAAUAAUACACUCUAGCUACAAUGUACCUCACGCAAACAACAC